UUGCGAGGAUGAGUGUGUUUCUCUGUUGGAGAAUUUCUCUAAGGAUGCAACUGCUAGUGCUGACCUGAUAGAGAAGAAGGCAAACUUACUGCGUGCUGAGGAAAUGGACAAAUGGCUUUCAUCAAGUGAAGAUUUGGAGGUGAGGAAGAUGGAACUUGAAAUCGAGUCAUAUCUGAUAAGUGAAGCUCGUAAAGGAGUGAAUGUUUCCAUCGAGCAUUCAAUUGAUGAUGACAGUAGAGAGAAAGAAAACUUCUUAAGAAGAAGGAUGUGUUGUUGGAUGAAUUGGAGAAGCUGCUUAAUUUAGUGAGAGAGAAGGAGAAGCAAAUUGCUGAGAAUGAUGCUUCCAUUGAAGCAGUAGAGAAGCGCAUUGCUGGUGUGGUCUCUGGAUUUCAGGACAUGCAAUCAGAUAUUGGUGCUAAAUAUGAUAGAAUGAAAUCAAAGCUUUCUCAGGUUGAUGCCGAAAGUGAAGCUUUAUCUAUAAAAAAGAAAGAUAUUGAUGACGUACUCUCUCAGGAAGAUAAUAAAGGAGCAAAGAUUAGGAACUUGGGAAGAUUGCUGCAGAUGAAGCAAAAGCAUACAAUGAAGCAGCAGGAUUGAGAAAAGGUUUAAUGCUCUGCAUUUUGGAGUACAGAGAAAGUAAACUGGGGCUGAUGAAGACUGAGGAGAAAUUUUCUGAAGAUGUCAUGAGGCUCCAACAAGAAGCUUCCUCUGCAAGAGCUUCUUUACAGGAACUGUCUUCAAAUAAGUCCAGCCUCCAACAGGAGAUAGCUUCAUUUGAGCAGAGGAUACUUUAUGUGGACAAGAGACUUCCAGAACUAGAGACUGAGAAAAGGUUGCUGCUGCUGCAAGA